rnacentral:rRNA from 1 species
UUUAAGAGUUUGAUCCUAGCUCAGGAUGAACGCUGGCGGCGUGUUUAAGGCAUGCAAGUCGUACGAAGGUGGCUUGUAGCACUUUGAAUGUGAAGCAUGAAUCAUGAAGUAAGAAUUAAGAAGCGAAAAAUAAUCGCUAUCAUAAUUCAUUAUUCAUAAUUCUUCGCAAAUAAAGUGCUAUGAGCUACUUCAGUGGCAAACGGGUGAGUAACACACUGGUAACCUACCUCUAAGACGAGGAUAGCUCUCCGAAAGGAGAAUUAAUACUCGAUGGAAAUGCGGGGACACAAGUCAUUCGCAUUUAAAGUCGCAAGACGCUUAGAGAGGGGCCUAUGUCUGAUUAGCUAGUUGGUAGGGUAAUGGCCUACCAAGGCUACGAUCAGUAGCAGGCGUGAGAGCGUGACCUGCCUCACUGGGACUGAGACACUGCCCAGACUCCUACGGNNNNNNNNNNNNNNNNNNNNNNNNNNNNNNNNNNNNNNNNNNNNNNNNNNNNNNNNNNNNNNNNNNNNNNNNNNNNGCAGCAGCGGUAAUACAGAGACCUCAAGUGUUAUCCGGAUUUAUUGGGCGUAAAGCGUCCGCAGAUUGUUUGACGGGUCAGGGGUUAAAAUCCAAUGCUUAACAUUGGAAUUGCCUUUGAAACUAUCAAACUAGAGGGUGGAAGAGGUAAGCGGAAUUGCAAGUGUAGUCGUAAUAAGCGUUGAUAUUUGCAAGAACACCAAAGGCGAAGGCAGCUUACUGGUACACAUCUGACGUUCAUGGACGAAAGCGUGGGGAGCAAACAGGAUGAGAUACCCUGGUAGUCCACGCCCUAAACAAUGCACACUAGAUAUUGGCAGUAUCGACCCUGUCAGUGUCGCUUAAAAAAGUUAACACAUUAAGUGUGCCGCCUGGGGAGUACGGCCGCAAGGCUAAAACUCAAAGGAAUAGACGGGGACCCGCACAAGCGGUGGAUUAUGUGGUUUAAUUCGAUGAUAAACGAGGAACCUUACCUGGGCUCAACUACUAGCUGCAUACUUCCAGAAAUGGAUUUAGCCUUCGAGGGUGCUAGAUAGGUGCUGCAUGGUUGCCGUCAGCUCGUGCCGUGAGGUGUACCGUUAAGUCGGGAAACGAGCGCAACCCACGUCGUGUGUUAAAUAUACACGCGAGACUGCCCGCGCAAGCGGGAGGAAGGAGUGGACGACGUCAAAUCAGCAUGGCUCUUACGUCCAGGGCUACACACAUAAUACAAUGGCCGGCACAAUGGGUUGCUAAACCGCGAGGUGGAGCUAAUCCCAUCAACUCCGGUCUCAGUUCAGAUUGAAGGCUGCAACUCGCCUUCAUGAAGUUGGAAUCGCUAGUAAACGCCUAUCAGCCACGGGGCGUUGAAUACGUUCUCGGGUCUUGUACUCACCGCCCGUCACACCACGGGAGUUGGCAAUGCCCAAAGACCCCGCCUUGAGCGCAAAUAUUUUGCGAUCAGAGCGGGGUUAAAGGCAGGGUCAAUGACUAGGGUGAAGUCGUAACAAGGCAUCCGUAGCGGAAGCUGUGGAUGGAUCACCUCCUUUCUG